AUGUGGAGUAGAAGCUGUCAGUGCCCAUGAGCACGGGUCAUUGCUCCCGGA
rfam:Labrenzia sp. C1B10 contig14, whole genome shotgun sequence.